rnacentral:rRNA from 1 species
GGCGAACGCUGGCGGCGUGCUUAACACAUGCAAGUCGAGCGGUAAGGCCCUUUCGGGGGUACACGAGCGGCGAACGGGUGAGUAACACGUGGGUGACCUGCCCUUAGCUCUGGGAUAAGCCUGGGAAACUGGGUCUAAUACCGGAUAUGACUCCAUAACGCAUGUUGUGGGGUGGAAAGCCUUGUGCGGCUAGGGAUGGGCCCGCGGCCUAUCAGCUUGUUGGUGGGGUGAUGGCCACCAAGGCGACGACGGGUAGCCGGCCUGAGAGGGCGACCGGCCACACUGGGACUGAGACACGGCCCAGACUCCUACGGGAGGCAGCAGUGGGGAAUCUUGCGCAAUGGGCGAAAGCCUGACGCAGCGACGCCGCGUGGGGA